rnacentral:lncRNA from 1 species
AAUCAUAGUGUAGUGGUGGCCUUGGCUGUACAUAGAAAGAGGCAUCCUAGAGAAGGGGAGGUCUGAGCAGAGAGAUGACAGGUUGAGCACUCCUGGCAGAGGGAGUGGCAUGAUGGAGAAAGAGAAUGAGAUGGAGGACAAGUGCAGCGUGCCCAGGUAUAAUGUGCCUAGGGGAUAGAGGGGGUGUGGCAAGUGGGGAGAGGGAUGAGAGUAUGGUGGGAAAUGAGGCUGGAAGGAGAGAUGAGGCCACGACACAGAGGAGAGACUCAGAAUGCUGCAUAACCUCCCUGAGCCCCAUGGUCUUCGUUACUGCAAAUGGGACGUGGAAUCCAGGAAUGAGAGGUAACUUGAGAACGGCUGCUCCUGGCUAUUAAGGUCAUAGUCCAGCAAACCCUUAACACGUGCCCCAAAAAAGACCUUAAGACCAACUUCCCAGGGAUUCCGGGACCACCUCACCACUUGCCCGAGAGGAGAACACCCAAACUGAACCCUCCAUCUCCAGGCACAUGUUAAACUACAUUUUCCAGCCCUCUUGCUUUGAGGCUGGCCAUGUCACUGAGUUCUGGCAAUGAAAC